AGUGAACGCUGGCGGCGUGCUUAACACAUGCAAGUCGAACGAGAACGGAUUAUAGCUUGCUAUAAUUGUCAGCUAAGUGGCGCACGGGUGAGUAAUGUAUAGGUAAUAUGCCUCUUACUAAGGGAUAACAAAUGGAAACGUUUGCUAAUACCUUAUACUCCUUAUUAACAUAAGUUAAUAAGGGAAAGAUUUAUUGGUAAGAGAUUAGCCUGUAUUGUAUCAGUUAGUUGGUGGGGUAAUGGCUUACCAAGACUAUGACACAUAACUGGUCUGAGAGGAUGAUCAGUCACACUGGAACUGAGACACGGUCCAGACUCCUACGGGAGGCAGCAGUGGGGAAUAUUGCACAAUGGACGAAAGUCUGAUGCAGUAACGCCGCGUGGAGGAUGACACAUUUCGGUGCGUAAACUCCUUUUAUAUGAGAAGAUAAUGACGGUAUUAUAUGAAUAAGCACCGGCUAACUCCGUGCCAGCAGCCGCCGCAG
rnacentral:rRNA from 1 species